rnacentral:rRNA from 1 species
UCGUAAAACUCUGUUGUUAGGGAAGAACAAGUGCUAGUUGAAUAAGCUGGCACCUUGACGGUACCUAACCAGAAAGCCACGGCUAACUACGUGCCAGCAGCCGCGGUAAUACGUAGGUGGCAAGCGUUAUCCGGAAUUAUUGGGCGUAAAGCGCGCGCAGGUGGUUUCUUAAGUCUGAUGUGAAAGCCCACGGCUCAACCGUGGAGGGUCAUUGGAAACUGGGAGACUUGAGUGCAGAAGAGGAAAGUGGAAUUCCAUGUGUAGCGGUGAAAUGCGUAGAGAUAUGGAGGAACACCAGUGGCGAAGGCGACUUUCUGGUCUGUAACUGACACUGAGGCGCGAAAGCGUGGGGAGCAAACAGGAUUAGAUACCCUGGUAGUCCACGCCGUAAACGAUGAGUGCUAAGUGUUAGAGGGUUUCCGCCCUUUAUUGCUGAAGUUAACGCUUU